rnacentral:rRNA from 1 species
AACGAACGCUGGCGGCAGGCUUAACACAUGCAAGUCGAGCGCCCCGCAAGGGGAGCGGCAGACGGGUGAGUAACGCGUGGGAAUCUACCCAUCUCUACGGAAUAACGCAUGGAAACGUGUGCUAAUACCGUAUACGUCCUUCGGGAGAAAGAUUUAUCGGAGAUGGAUGAGCCCGCGUCGGAUUAGCUAGUUGGUGGGGUAAAGGCCUACCAAGGCGACGAUCCAUAGCUGGUCUGAGAGGAUGAUCAGCCACACUGGGACUGAGACACGGCCCAGACUCCUACGGGAGGCAGCAGUGGGGAAUAUUGGACAAUGGGCGCAAGCCUGGUCCAGCCAUGCCGCGUGAGUGAUGAAGGCCCUAGGGUUGUAAAGCUCUUUCACCGGUGAAGAUAAUGACGGUAACCGGAGAAGAAGCCCCGGCUAACUUCGUGCCAGCCGCCGCAGUAAUAC